rnacentral:tRNA from 1 species
AGUGAGUUGGGUGAGUUGGUUUAAACCAGUUUCCUGCUAAGAAACCGUUCCCAUUAAAAGGAACCGUGGGUUCGAAUCCCACACUCACUGCCA